GGGUGGUAAUGCCGGAUGCUCCAGUUGAUCGCAUGGUCUUCUGGGAAAGCUUUCGCGGUAUGGGAUGGGGUCGCGUCCUAUCAGCUUGACGGCGGGGUAACGGCCCACCGUGGCUUCGACGGGUAGCCGGCCUGAGAGGGCGACCGGCCACAUUGGGACUGAGAUACGGCCCAGACUCCUACGGGAGGCAGCAGUGGGGAAUAUUGCACAAUGGGCGCAAGCCUGAUGCAGCGACGCCGCGUGAGGGAUGGAGGCCUUCGGGUUGUAAACCUCUUUUAUCGGGGAGCAAGCGAGAGUGAGUUUACCCGUUGAAUAAGCACCGGCUAACUACGUGCCAGCAGCCGCGGUAAUACGUAGGGUGCAAGCGUUAUCCGGAAUUAUUGGGCGUAAAGGGCUCGUAGGCGGUUCGUCGCGUCCGGUGUGAAAGUCCAUCGCUUAACGGUGGAUCCGCGCCGGGUACGGGCGGGCUUGAGUGCGGUAGGGGAGACUGGAAUUCCCGGUGUAACGGUGGAAUGU
rnacentral:rRNA from 1 species